CCUACGGGUGGCAGCAGUGGGGAAUAUUGCGCAAUGGGCGAAAGCCUGACGCAGCGACGCCGCGUGAGGGAUGAAGGUCUUCGGAUCGUAAACCUCUGUCAGCAGGGAAGAACGGUCACUGUGCUAAUCAGCAGUGAAUUGACGGUACCUGCAAAGGAAGCACCGGCUAACUCCGUGCCAGCAGCCGCGGUAAUACGGAGGGUGCGAGCGUUAAUCGGAAUUACUGGGCGUAAAGCGCUCGUAGGCGGUAUGUCAAGUCAAGGGUGAAAUCCCCGCGCUCAACGUGGGAACUGCAUUUGAAACUGGCAAACUUGAGUGUGGGAGAGGAUAGUAGAAUUCCAGGUGUAGGAGUGAAAUCCGUAGAGAUCUGGAGGAACAUCAGUGGCGAAGGCGACUAUCUGGCACAUAACUGACGCUGAGGAGCGAAAGCGUGGGGAGCAAACAGGAUUAGAUACCCGGGUAGUC
rnacentral:rRNA from 1 species